rnacentral:rRNA from 1 species
ACGAAGGGUGCAAGCGUUACUCGGAAUUACUGGGCGUAAAGCGCACGUAGGCGGCUUUGUAAGUUAGAGGUGAAAGCCCGGAGCUCAACUCCGGAAUUGCCUUUAAGACUGCAUCGCUAGAAUUGUGGAGAGGUAAGUGGAAUUCCCAGUGUAGAGGUGAAAUUCGUAGAUAUUGGGAAGAACACCGGUGGCGAAGGCGGCCAUCUGGACGGACACUGACGCUGAGGCGCGAAAGCGUGGGGAGCAAACAGGA